rnacentral:lncRNA from 1 species
GCCAGGGGGGAUACCCUCCGGCAGGGUACCCGCCGCAGCAGGGAGGUUACCCUCCACAGCAAGGAUACCCGCCUGCACCUGGAGCUUACCCACCUGCACCUGGGGCAUACCCUCCAGCACCUGGGGCUUACCCUCCUGCACCUGGAGCGGGAGGCCCUGAUGGGGAGAAGGGGCUCCUCUCCAACAUCAUGCACGGCGUUGCCGGUGCUCAUGGUGGUGGUCAUGGGUACCCGUCUGGUGG